AUGGUGGCGACGGGGGACGCGGAAGAGGCGGCGGCGGGGUGCCGCGCGCGGGCGGCGCUGCUGGGCGGGUACGAGCUGGGCCGCACGCUCGGGGAAGGCAGCUUCGGCAAGGUGAAGCACGCGCGGCACCGCGCCACGGGGGGCCACUUCGCCGUGAAGAUCCUGGACCGCGGCAGGGUGCUCUCCCUCCGCGGCGCCGACGACCAGGUCCGCAGGGAGAUCGCCACGCUCACCAUGCUCGCGCACCCAAACGUCGUCCGCCUCCACGAGGUUGCUGCUAGCAAAACAAAGAUCUACAUGGUGCUUGAGUUUGUCAAUGGAGGAGAACUGUUUGACAGGAUUGCAAUGAAGGGAAAACUAUCCGAACGAGAAGGAAGAAGACUUUUUCAGCAGCUAAUUGAUGGCGUGAGCUAUUGCCAUGGAAAGGGUGUCUACCACAGAGACCUUAAGCCUGAAAACGUUCUGAUUGACCGAAAAGGCAACAUCAAGAUCUCUGAUUUUGGUCUAUGUGCUUUACCUCAACAUCUCGGGAAGGAUGGAUUACUGCAUACAACCUGUGGUAGCCCCAACUAUAUUGCACCUGAGGUUCUGCAGAACAGAGGUUAUGACGGAUCACUGUCGGAUAUCUGGUCUUGUGGAGUAAUUCUUUACAUAAUGCUCAUAGGCCAGCUUCCGUUUGAUGACCGAAAUAUGGUUGUUCUUUAUCAGAAGAUUUUCAAGGGUGACGCUAAGAUCCCGGAGUGGCUUUCGCCUGGUGCACAAAAUAUUAUUAAGAGGAUUCUUGAACCAAAUCCGAUGAAGAGAAUCAACAUGGCAGAGAUCAAACAACACGAAUGGUUUCAGAAAGACUAUAUUCAUGUUGGUCCAUAUGAUGACGAUGAUGAAGAUGUACGGCUUGGUGCAAUUCUGCCUGUGAAACAGAAGCAAAUUAGUGAAGCACCUGGGGACAAGAGUACUCGUCAGAUGAACGCUUUUCAGCUGAUCGGAAUGGCAUCUUCCCUCGAUCUUUCUGGGUUUUUUGAGGAAGAGGGAGUGUCCCAGAGAAAGAUCAGGUUCACAUCAGCACUUCCACCGAAGGAUUUGUUCAACAAGAUUGAAGUAACGGCAACGCAAUCGGGGCUCCACGUUCAAAGAGUGCAUAGCAAGCUCAAAAUAACGGGCAAUUGCAAUGGAGCGAACAACCCUUUGCCAUUCUUAGUCUGUGUCGAGGUGUUUGAGCUCGGCCCCUCUCUGCAUGUUGUUGAGCUUAGGAAGUCCCACGGUGACCCUGCAGUGUACAGACAGCUCUGCGAUAGGAUCUCGGGUGACCUGGGGAUUGACAAGAUAUUCAGGAUGGAGCAGCUCUUUGACGACGAUCUCCCCAGCUUCGACAGCAGAGGCGCGACGCCACUGGUUGCCUUGUGA
rnacentral:rRNA from 1 species